UAACAAGGAUUCCCCUAGUAACGGCGAGUGAAGCGGGAAGGGCACAAAUUUAAAAUCUACUGGUUUCAGGUCGAGUUGUAAUUUGAAGAACGUUUUAAUGUUCGGUGGGAUAAAUCCUUUGGGAUAAGGUAUCAUGGAGGGUGAGAAUCCCGUGUAACCAACCGCGUGUUAUUUAAUACGUUUCUAAGAGUCGAGUUGUUUGGGAAUGCAGCUCUAAUGGGUGGUAAAUUUCACCUAAUGCUAAUAUAAGCGAGAGACCGAUAGCGAACAAGUACCGUGAGGGAAAGAUGAAAGAACUUUGAAAGAGAGUUAAAUAGUACGUGAAAUUGUUGAAAGGGAAACGAUUGAAG
rnacentral:rRNA from 1 species